GAUCCUGGCUUAGGAUGAACGCUGGCGGCGUGCUUAACACAUGCAAGUCGAACGAAGCAGCUUCUGCUGCAAGAAAGUGACUAGUGGCGGACGGGUGAGUAACGCGUGGGUAACCUGCCUCAUACAGGGGGAUAACAGUUGGAAACGACUGCUAAGACCGCAUAACCCGCUAGUGUCGCAUGACACGGACGGAAAAUAUUUAUAGGUAUGAGAUGGGCCCGCGUCUGAUUAGCUAGUUGGUAAGGUAACGGCUUACCAAGGCGACGAUCAGUAGCCGACUUGAGAGAGUGAUCGGCCACAUUGGGACUGAGACACGGCCCAAACUCCUACGGGAGGCAGCAGUGGGGAACAUUGGACAAUGGGGGAAACCCUGAUCCAGCCGACGCCGCGUGAGUGAAGAAGUAUUUCGGUAUGUAAAGCUCUAUCAGCAGGGAAGAUAAUGACAGUACCUGACUAAGAAGCCCCGGCUAACUACGUGCCAGCCGCGGC
rnacentral:rRNA from 1 species